CAGCAGCCGCGGUAAUACGUAGGGUGCGAGCGUUAAUCGGAAUUACUGGGCGUAAAGGGUGUGCAGGCGGCUGAGUAAGACAGGACUGA
rnacentral:rRNA from 1 species